rnacentral:rRNA from 1 species
UACCAGCACCCCGAGUGGUCGGACGUUUAUUGGGCCUAAAGCAUCCGUAGCCGGUUCUACAAGUCUUCCGUUAAAUCCACCUGCUUAACAGAUGGGCUGCGGAAGAUACUAUAGAGCUAGGAGGCGGGAGAGGCAAGCGGUACUCGAUGGGUAGGGGUAAAAUCCGUUGAUCCAUUGAAGACCACCAGUGGCGAAGGCGAAUACCCUGGCCU